rnacentral:rRNA from 1 species
CCCUUAGAUGUUCUGGGCUGCACGCGCGCUACACUGAUGCGUUCAACGAGUUUUACCUGCUCCGGAAGGAAUGGGCAACCUUGUGAAAGCGCAUCGUGAUGGGGAUAGAUUAUUGCAAUUUUUAAUCUUCAACGAGGAAUUCCUAGUAAGCGCAAGUCAUCAACUUGCACUGAUUACGUCCCUGCCCUUUGUACACACCGCCCGUCGCUCCUACCGAUUGAAUGAUCCGGUGAAUACUUGGGACCGUGUCGCGAUCAGUUUCUGGUUGCGAUGUGGGAACUUGAGUGAACCUUAUCAUUUAGAGGAAGGAGAAGUCGUAACA